rnacentral:rRNA from 1 species
GUAGGGUCCGAGAGCGUUGUCCGGAAUUAUUGGGCGUAAAAGGGCUCGUAGGCGGUUCGUCACGUCGGGAGUGAAAACUACGGCAGCUUAACUCCGAGCCGUGCUUCCGAUAUCGGGCAGACCUAGAGGUAGGCAGGGGAGAGCGGAACUCCUGGUGUAGCGGUGGAAUGCGCAGGAUAAUCGGGAGGAACACCAAUUGCGAAGGCAGCUUGCCUGGGACGGGUACUGGACGCUGAGGCGCGAAAGCGUGGGGAGCAAACAGGA